rnacentral:tRNA from 3 species
GUCAGGAUGGCCGAGCGGUCUAAGGCGCUGCGUUCAGGUCGCAGUCCGGACUUCCGGGCGUGGGUUCGAAUCCCACUUCUGACA